CCUCGGGAGGCAGCAGUAGGGAAUUUUCGGCAAUGGAGGAAACUCUGACCGAGCAACGCCGCGUGAAUGAAGAAGUACUUCGGUAUGUAAAAUUCUUUUAUUAGGGAAGAACGAUCUGUGGAAAAACAGAAUUGACGGUACCUAAUGAAUAAGCCCCGGCUAACUAUGUGCCAGCAGCCGCGGUAAUACAUAGGGGGCAAGCGUUAUCCGGAAUUAUUGGGCGUAAAGGGUGCGUAGGCGGCCAUUUAAGUCCUUGGUGUAAGUGCAGCGCUCAACGCUGUGAUGCUAAGGAAACUGAAUGGCUUGAGUGAGAUAGAGGCAAGUGGAAUUCCAUGUGUAGCGGUAAAAUGCGUAAAUAUAUGGAGGAACACCAGUGGCGAAGGCGGCUUGCUGGGUCUUCACUGACGCUGAGGCACGAAAGCGUGAGGAGCGAACAGGAUUAGAUACCCUGGUAGUCCACGCCGUAAACGAUGAGUACUAAGUGUUGGAGAAAUUCAGCGCUGUAGUUAACGCAAUAAGUACUCCGCCUGAGUAGUACGUACGCAAGUAUGAAACUCAAAGGAAUUGACGG
rnacentral:rRNA from 1 species